rnacentral:rRNA from 1 species
UACGUAGGGUGCGAGCGUUAAUCGGAAUUACUGGGCGUAAAGCGUGCGCAGGCGGUUUGGUAAGACAGAUGUGAAAUCCCCGGGCUUAACCUGGGAAUUGCAUUAGUGACUGCCCGGCUAGAGUGUGUCAGAGGGGGGUAGAAUUCCACGUGUAGCAGUGAAAUGCGUAGAGAUGUGGAGGAAUACCGAUGGCGAAGGCAGCCCCCUGGGAUAACACUGACGCUCAUGCACGAAAGCGUGGGGAGCAAACAGG